UACGUAGGGGCUAGCGUUGUCCGGAAUCAUUGGGCGUAAAGGGUUCGUAGGCGGUAAUACAUGUCAGAUGUGAAAUCUUGUGGCUUAACCACAUCAAGCAUCUGAAACUGUAUAACUUGAGUGAAGGAGAGGUAAGUGGAAUUCCUGGUGUAGCGGUGAAAUGCGCAGAUAUCAGGAGGAACACCGAUGGCGAAGGCAGGUCUCUGGGCCACUACUGACGCUGAGAAGCGAAAGCAUGGGGAGCGAACAGGAUUA
rnacentral:rRNA from 1 species